AGCGAACGCUGGCGGCAGGCUUAACACAUGCAAGUCGAGCGGGCAUCCUUGUGGUGUCAGCGGCAGACGGGUGAGUAACGCGUGGGAACGUGCCCUUCGGUUCGGAAUAACUCAGGGAAACUUGAGCUAAUACCGGAUACGCCCUUUUGGGGAAAGGUUUACUGCCGAAGGAUCGGCCCGCGUCUGAUUAGCUAGUUGGUGAGGUUAUGGCUCACCAAGGCGACGAUCAGUAGCUGGUCUGAGAGGAUGAUCAGCCACACUGGGACUGAGACACGGCCCAGACUCCUACGGGAGGCAGCAGUGGGGAAUAUUGGACAAUGGGGGCAACCCUGAUCCAGCCAUGCCGCGUGAGUGAUGACGGCCUUAGGGUUGUAAAGCUCUUUUCUCCGGGACGAUAAUGACGGUACCGGAGGAAUAAGGCCCGGCUAACUUCGUG
rnacentral:rRNA from 1 species